UCCGAGAGUCGACUUGGAGGUUGUGCCCUUGAGGCGUGGCUUCCGGAGCUAACGCGUUAAGUCGACCGCCUGGGGAGUACGGCCGCAAGGUUAAAACUCAAAUGAAUUGACGGGGGCCCGCACAAGCGGUGGAGCAUGUGGUUUAAUUCGAUGCAACGCGAAGAACCUUACCUACUCUUGACAUCCACAGAACUUUCCAGAGAUGGAUUGGUGCCUUCGGGAACUGUGAGACAGGUGCUGCAUGGCUGUCGUCAGCUCGUGUUGUGAAAUGUUGGGUUAAGUCCCGCAACGAGCGCAACCCUUAUCCUUUGUUGCCAGCGCGUAAUGGGGGGACCCCAAAGGAAACGGCCGGGGAAAAACGGGAGAAAGGGGGGAAUAACGCCAGGCCUCCUGGGCCCUUACAAUAAGGGCUCCACACGGGUUCCAUGGGGUUUUACAAAGGGAGCCACAUCCCCAAAACCAAGCGAACCUCUCAAAGAAGGUCGUAUCCCGGAUCGAAUCCGGCAACUCAAUUCCUUAAAUCCGAAAUCCCUAUUAAUCGGGAAUCAAAUGGCUCCGGGAAAUACUUUCCCGGGCCUUGUCCCCCCCGCCCGUUCCCCCCAGGGGAAUGGGGUUGCAAAAGAAAGUAGGUAGCUUUAACCUUCGGGAAGGGCGCUUUACCCCUUUGGUUGAUUCAGGCAUUGGGGGGAAUCCGUAAGGGGGGGCACCCCAAAAAAAAAAAAGGAACCGCCCGCUAUUUUUUUAGGCAACAGAAGGUUGGGUUUUUUGGUACCGGGGGGGGGCGGCUGUUGUCGGCAGGGGGGGUGGCCUCCAAAGAUUUUGUAGGGGGGUGUCAGGGGGCGUGACGGGGGGGGGGGGGUGGGGGGCCCGGCCUGGGGGGGGGAAGGUGGGGGGGGCCGACGGUUUGGAGGGGGGGGGGGCCCCCCCGCGGUGGGACCCCCGGGGGGGAUUUUUCCCCCUUCCGGGAUUUUGCGACCAACCCCCCCGGGGGGGGGGGGGUUUUUUUCCCCCCCCGCUAAAUUUUCCCCGGUUUUUCCGGGGGUUGGGCCCCCCCCCCCCUGUUUUUUUCCCGGCGGGGGGGGGCGGGCCCCCGAGAUUUUUCAGGCCGGGGGGGGGUUUUUUUUUUCGGGGGCGGGAUGUCCCGCGUCACUGUUUGGGGCGGGGGGUUGUUUUUUUUUCCUCUUUCUU
rnacentral:rRNA from 1 species